AGAGUUUGAUCCUGGCUCAGGACGAACGCUGGCGGCGUGCUUAACACAUGCAAGUCGAGCGACAGCGUCCCUUUCGGGGGGCGUAUGGAGCGGCGAACGGGUGAGUAACACGUGAGCAACCUGCCCUUGACUUUGGGAUAACCCUCGGAAACGGGGGCUAAUACCGGAUAGGACAUUGGCCCGCAUGGGUUGGUGUGGAAAGUUUUUCGGUCAAGGAUGGGCUCGCGGCCUAUCAGCUUGUUGGUGGGGUAAUGGCCUACCAAGGCGACGACGGGUAGCCGGCCUGAGAGGGGGCCCGGCCACACUGGGACUGAGACCCGGCCCAGACUCCUACGGGAGGCAGCAGUGGGGAAUAUUGCACCAUGGGCGAAAGCCUGAUGCAGCGACGCCGCGUGAGGGAUGACGGCCUUCGGGUUGUAAACCUCUUUCGACAGGGACGAAGCGCAAGUGACGGUACCUGGAGAAGAAGCACCGGCCAACUACGUGCCAGCAGCCGCGGUAAGACGUAGGGUGCAAGCGUUGUCCGGAUUUAUUGGGCGUAAAGAGCUCGUAGGCGGCUCGUUGCGUCAGCUGUGAAAACCCACGGCUUAACCGUGGGCUUGCAGCUGAUACGGGCGGGCUGGAGUUCGGUAGGGGAGACUGGAAUUCCUGGUGUAGCGGUGAAAUGCGCAGAUAUCAGGAGGAACACCGGUGGCGAAGGCGGGUCUCUGGGCCGAUACUGACGCUGAGGAGCGAAAGCGUGGGGAGCGAACAGGAUUAGAUACCCUGGUAGUCCACGCUGUAAACGUUGGGCGCUAGGUGUGGGGGGCCUCUCCGGUUUCCUGUGCCGUAGCUAACGCAUUAAGCGCCCCGCCUGGGGAGUACGGCCGCAAGGCUAAAACUCAAAGGAAUUGACGGGGGCCCGCACAAGCGGCGGAGCAUGCGGAUUAAUUCGAUGCAACGCGAAGAACCUUACCUGGGUUUGACAUGGGCGGAAAUCCGGCAGAGACGUCGGGUCCUUCGGGGCCGUUCACAGGUGGUGCAUGGC
rnacentral:rRNA from 1 species